GGAGGAUUACCCAAGCCUGGCUGAAGGGAACAGUUUUGAAAACCGUCAGGCGUGUAAAAGCGUGCGUGGGUUCGAAUCCCACAUCCUCCU
rnacentral:tRNA from 1 species